rnacentral:rRNA from 1 species
GUGGGGAAUAUUGGACAAUGGGGGGAACCCUGAUCCAGCCAUGCCGCGUGUGUGAAGAAGGCCUUUUGGUUGUAAAGCACUUUAAGUGGGGAGGAGGCUUACCUGGUUAAUACCUGGGCUAAGUGGACGUUACCCACAGAAUAAGCACCGGCUAACUCUGUGCCAGCAGCCGCGGUAAUACAGAGGGUGCGAGCGUUAAUCGGAUUUACUGGGCGUAAAGCGCGCGUAGGUGGUUAAUUAAGUCAAAUGUGAAAUCCCCGAGCUUAACUUGGGAAUUGCAUUCGAGACUGGUUAGCUAGAGUAUGGGAGAGGAUGGUAGAAUUCCAGGUGUAGCGGUGAAAUGCGUAGAGAUCUGGAGGAAUACCGAUGGCGAAGGCAGCCAUCUGGCCUAAUACUGACACUGAGGUGCGAAAGCAUGGGGAGCAAACAGGAUUAGAAACCCUUGUAGUCC